rnacentral:SRP_RNA from 2 species
GCCGGGCAUGGUGGCGGGCGCCUGUAGUCCCAGCUACUCGGGAGGCUGAGGCAGGAGAAUCGCUUGAACCCAGGAGGCAGAGGUUGCAGUGAGCCGAGAUCGGCGCCACUGCACUCCAGCCUGGGCGACAGAGUGAGACUCUGUCUCAA